CUAAAUCUUCUGCAGAUGUUGCUGUUGCUGGAGAAAUGUCACUGGGAAAGAUAAAGGACCAUUAUUCUAAAGAGUGUUUCAGGCUGACUGAAUCAGGUCUGAAACGUUAUUGAAAUGGGAAGAUAAACUCAACUAUUUUCAGAUUUCUACAAACUAGAAACCAUGGUAAACCCAGAAGAAAAGGCACUCCAGUUCAACCUUCUCUACAAAUGAAGGAAGGGGCAGCCAAUCUUACUUCUCCCAUAGACCAGACUGAAAGAUGGCUAAGAAUGUACUAAAGCACACUUCCACAUGUAGGCAUGGGCAUUUCUUGAAAGAACUGGCCUUGGGAGAGCAACUGAAGAGGAAAGAACCAUCCUGAAUUCAGGUAUAUAUAACACCAGACAACAUGGUCAGAAAAGCUUCAGCAUGAAUGCCACAUAUUAAAGGAAGCCUCAAACCCACCAGAAUGGACACCUUCAGAAUGCUGCAGCAAAGAGUAAAAAUAUAAAAAUUAGAAUGCGAGAAAAAUUCCAGGAAUAAACAAAACAAUCUAGGGUCAUCAGAUUCCGUAAUUGCACCUUGGACAUUUUAUGUGGCAGUUGCUACUUCCCAUUGCUAGGCCUAAGGUGAUGUAAGCUCUGUUCUUCAUUUCUUAAACAUUUCCCAACAUAUCUGAGUAGGCUUUGCUAUUAUAAUCAUUUUAUUUGAACCAUCUGGAACAAAAUUUCUAUUCCUGCCAGAAUUUUAUUACUCAUUUUUUUCUGUGGCAUCAAUAGCUGUUUUCCCAACAUCUAGAAUAAUGCUCUACACAAGCCCAAGAAUCCUUGAUCACUAAUUACUUGAAAUUUUUAUAAUAACUUAAGGGUCAAAAGGUCUUGAGGAGCACUGGGUAGUUCUCAUAUGGAUCUAUAAAUGCAUAUGUAGGAAGAAAUUGCUAGAGAAGAAAUCUAGACCCUCACUCACAUCACUAAUAGUAAUAGCUUCUUCAGAAGAGCAUACCAUUGAAAAUCACCAAGUGGUCCCAUCCCAGCAGCAGCAGGUCACUGGGCCACCUUACAAAUGGAAUGUUUACCUAAGGGUGGUACAUCCACCCACUGCUUAGGAACAGCCAGAGACAUUUUGGCAUGAUGGUGCCUAACAGACACAUUCAACUCUCUCUCUUCUUUUGGAGAAUUAAAGGCAAAUAAUACAAGGAAAGUGUAAUGGAGGAUGCUCCUAAAAGUGGCCCUGAAGUUCAGCAAAGGAGACUAAGAUCAUGACCCUCCCUGGGCGUACAGGAAGAUAGUGAGUACUUCCUAGUUCAAAUGUGAAGCAAACGACAAAGCAUCGUCUUGUCAAUAUGAGAUUCUCUUCAGAUUCUUUCAAAUAAAAGCAUUCUAACUCAAGGAAGAGCAGGUAAACAGGAAGCAGUGGCAGACAGUUGCCCCUCCAAAGGGCACUUGAGCUACAGGACACAGCCUAUAAAUGCUGCAAGUCAUAUGAAAACUCUGUGAAUACAAGUUCCCAGAAGAAUGCUAAGUCCUCCACUUCAGUGACUAUGAAGGGGUUGGAAUAUUGCAGAUCCAAAGCCUUGUGACAUUCAUCUGGGACCAUUUUAAACACUAUGCCUUGCCCACCUCUAUGUCUGAUCUAAGGUCCUGUGUCUAAAAGAUAAACUUUUUGAAUGCAUUAAUUUAACAAUGCUCUAGCCCAACCAGAAUGAUAAGCAUCCCACCAAAGAACAUGGAGGCUAUAACUGAAGGGUGUCCGCUUGGCUUUUACUGUUGUACUUGAUGCAUCUUCUAAUGUGUUUAAGAGCUACCUGGACACAGGACUUUCUUUCUGUUACUAUAUAAACUUCAUCAAUCUGUAACCGCCUUGGAACAUGGUAUUUGGGGUUGUCUAAAUAUGUGUUCCUCUCCCAUGACCACUUAACUUUUGCUUCAGAAUGACCUACCUCAUCUCAGUGAAGAUACUCCAGGGUCUCUAGUUUCUAGGAACAUAUGUGAGCUGUGAGGUAGUCCAUUUUUUUUAUUAGAUAUUUUCUUCGUAUAUAUUUCAAGUGCUAUCCCCAAAGGUCCCCUAUACCCUCCCUCCCCCCGCCCUGCUCCCCCUUGGUGAAGAAAUAAGCAGAAGACGUUAAGAUUAACGCAAAGCAGAGAUAACAAGUAGGAGGAACUAAGAGAGAGCCAAAUUACCAAAUGGACACAGGGAUUACCUAACUAAGAUAACAUCUGGAUAAACAACAGCAACUUUAGAUUUUAAGUGAACUCCAAUUCCCUAAUUCCAUGCCUAUCUCUUCCAGACUUUGUAAUUUGUUUAGGAAGAACCCUACCACCUCAUUUUCAUACAUCUAUUUACAAAAUCCUCUAUCUGAGGUUCUAGUUCAUACACCUAGAGGACUGUAGCUUUCUGGCUCCCAGUUUGAUGGUCUUUUCAUCACACCAGAAAUUCUGAGCAAAUUAAAUCUUCAUUUUCUUGUAAUUUAUUCUUAUUCCAAGAUUGGAUAAUGAAAGUUUACAAACUAAUUUUUGAUAUUUUUUUACCAAAAUUUUAUAAAUGUCCAAUUUUUCUUUUCUUUUCUGUUAUAAAUGUGAAUUUUGAUUGCAACAGGAACUAAUCUAAGGGACAACCGCAAAUCUACCAAAAUGUUGUCACAGGUGCUUUUUUAAAACAAAUAAUCUAAUCUUUAAAUGAAGUGUUUUGUUUUGUUUUUUUAAGUUUGCAGAUAAUAGUGAGAGACAUGUCAGAGAGAUCUGUGAUUUCCUUCUUCCUGAAGCUAAAUCCUUGAUCAAACUCUCAACCUGAGUCACUCAGAAAGCAAAUCAUGGAGGGAGAGUCUGCUUGGCAGGGAAAGAAGUCAGAAGAUACAGCAGUAACAGGAGAGGAAGGAAAGCACAGGCAUAAGGACAGGGACAGAGCAGGUGGCUCCUAGACAGAUUCUUUUGGAUGCAUUCAUAAAGGGGUGUUUAGUAUGAGAGGAAUGUAAGGGUGCCAUUUAUCUUGAUUGUGUCCCAAAGCCCUUCACAGAAUAUUUUCUUGAAGACGCUUUUACAAAAAGUGAGCUCAAAUUGCCUUGAAAAUUGGCUGAUGAACAACAGGCAAGCAAAUGUACCUCUUUCUAAAACAGCUCCUGAAAUGACAAAGGGAUUUCUGUCCUUUCUUUUUCAGUCCUCACACGUUCUCAAAACCUACCUGAAAGUAAUUUUUCUUCUCUCAGCUACAAAGUAAUUUAAACUUACAACAUGUUCCGCACCGAGUUUGGUACUCUGGGUUGCAAUGGCCAUACUGCAAGCCAAAAUCAAGGACUUCUUUCUGUGUUUGUAGUCUGACAUAUUGGGAUUCUUGGCUUCUCUGUACUAUAUGGAAAUUACAGGACCAAAUUUUAAAUAUGGGUAAUUCUAGAAGAUUUGUAUGAUGAUUUGUACAUGCCUAUGGAGUGGGAUGAUUAGAAGGUGUUGGAGUAGUUGUGUCACUGUGGGAGUGAGCUAUAAGACCAUCAUCCUAGCUGCCUGUAAGCUAUUCUUCUACUAGUAGCCUUCAGAUGAAGAUAUAGAAUUCUCAGCUCUACCUGCACCAUGCAUGCCUGGAUGCUUCCAUGCUCCCACCUUGAUAAUGAUGGACUGAAACUCUGAACCUGUAAGCCAGCCCCAAGUAAAUGUUUUCUUUAUAAGACUUGCAUUGGUCAUGGUGUCUGUUCACAGCAGUAAAAGUCUAAGACAAUUUGAG
rnacentral:lncRNA from 1 species